rnacentral:rRNA from 1 species
UGGCGCACGGGUGCGUAACGCGUAACCAACCUACCCGAAUCUGGGGGAUAGCCCGCCGAAAGGCGGAUUAAUACCGCAUAAAACUGCAGCACGGCAUCGUGUAACAGUUAAAGAUUUAUUGGAUUCGGAUGGGGUUGCGUGCCAUUAGCUAGUUGGCGGGGUAACGGCCCACCAAGGCGACGAUGGCUAGGGGAGCUUAGAGGCUGGUCCCCCACACGGGCACAGGGAUACGGGCCCGACUCCUACGGGAGGCAGCAGUAGGGAAUAUUGGGCAAUGGGCAAGAGCCUGACCCAGCCACGCCGCGUGCAGGAUGAAGGCUUUCUGAGUCGUAAACUGCUUUUACCAGGGAAGAAAAAAGGGGAUGCGUCCUCUACUGACGGUACCUGGUGAAUAAGCACCGGCUAACUCCGUGCCAGCAGCCGCGGUAAUACGGAGGGUGCAAGCGUUGUCCGGAUUUAUUGGGUUUAAAGGGUGCGUAGGCGGCUGAUUAAGUCUGGGGUGAGAGCCCGUUGCUCAACAACGGAACUGCCCUGGAAAC